GUACUCGCUUCAGCAACACAUAUACUAAAAUGGGAAUGAUACAGAGAAGAUGAGCAUGACCCCUGCACAAGGAUGACAUGCAAAUUCAUGAAACAGUCCAUAUUUUU
rnacentral:snRNA from 1 species